CGGACGGGUGAGUAACGCGUGAGCAACCUGCCUUUGGAUUCGGGAUAACUCCUCGAAAGGGGGGCUAAUACCGGAUAAGACCACAGAGUCGAAUGGCUCAGGGGUAAAAGAUGGCCUCUUCAUGAAAGCUAUCGUCCAAAGAUGGGCUCGCGGUCCAUUAGCUUGUUGGUGAGGUAACGGCUCACCAAGGCGACGAUGGAUAGCCGACCUGAGAGGGUGAUCGGCCACACUGGGACUGAGAUACGGCCCAGACUCCUACGGGAGGCAGCAGUGGGGAAUUUUGCGCAAUGGGGGAAACCCUGACGCAGCGACGCCGCGUGGAGGAUGAAGGCCCUUGGGUUGUAAACUCCUGUCAGGAAGGACGAACGGCAGGGUAGUUAAUACCUGCCCUGUUUGACGGUACUUCCAGAGGAAGCUCCGGCUAACUCCGUGCCAGCAGCCGCGGUAAGACGGAGGGAGCAAGCGUUGCUCGGAAUCACUGGGCGUAAAGGGCGUGUAGGCGGGAUGGUCUGUCGGAUGUGAAAGCCCCGGGCUCAACUCGGGAAGUGCAUUCGAUACUGCCGUUCUUGAGUGUGGUAGAGGAGAGCGGAAUUCCUGGUGUAGCGGUGAAAUGCGUAGAUAUCAGGAAGAACACCUGUGGCGAAGGCGGCUCUCUGGACCAAUACUGACGCUGAGGCGCGAAAGCUAGGGGAGCGAAUGGGAUUAGAUACCCCAGUAGUC
rnacentral:rRNA from 1 species